rnacentral:rRNA from 1 species
GACGAACGCUGGCGGCGUGCUUAACACAUGCAAGUCGAGCGAUGAAAGCCUUAUGAACUAUUCGUAGUGAUUGGGGCCGGAUUAGCGGCGGACGGGUGAGUAACGCGUGAGCAACCUGCCUUAAACAACGGGAUAGCCUCGGGAAACCGGGAUUAAUACCGUAUGAGACCCCGCCUUCACAUGAAGAAGAGGUUAAAGAUUUAUCGGUUUAAGAUGGGCUCGCGUCUGAUUAGCUAGUUUGUGAGAUAAAAGCCCACCAAGGCAACGAUCAGUAACCGGCUUGAGAGAGUGAACGGUCAAAUUGGAACUGAGACACGGUCCAAACUCCUAAGGGAGGCAGCAGUGGGGAAUAUUGCACAAUGGGGGAAACCCUGAUGCAGCGACGCCGCGUGAGCGAUGAAGGAAUUCGUUUCGUAAAGCUCUGUCCAAGGGGAAGAUAAUGACAGUACCCUUGGAGGAAGCCCCGGCUAAAUACGUGCCAGCCGCCGCCGUAAAAC